rnacentral:rRNA from 1 species
UGCAAGUCGAACGAACUCUGGUAUUGAUUGGUGCUUGCAUCAUGAUUUACAUUUGAGUGAGUGGCGAACUGGUGAGUAACACGUGGGAAACCUGCCCAGAAGCGGGGGAUAACACCUGGAAACAGAUGCUAAUACCGCAUAACAACUUGGACCGCAUGGUCCGAGUUUGAAAGAUGGCUUCGGCUAUCACUUUUGGAUGGUCCCGCGGCGUAUUAGCUAGAUGGUGGGGUAACGGCUCACCAUGGCAAUGAUACGUAGCCGACCUGAGAGGGUAAUCGGCCACAUUGGGACUGAGACACGGCCCAAACUCCUACGGGAGGCAGCAGUAGGGAAUCUUCCACAAUGGACGAAAGUCUGAUGGAGCAACGCCGCGUGAGUGAAGAAGGGUUUCGGCUCGUAAAACUCUGUUGUUAAAGAAGAACAUAUCUGAGAGUAACUGUUCAGGUAUUGACGGUAUUUAACCAGAAAGCCACGGCUAACUACGUGCCAGCAGCCGCGGUAAUACGUAGGUGGCAAGCGUUGUCCGGAUUUAUUGGGCGUAAAGCGAGCGCAGGCGGUUUUUUAAGUCUGAUGUGAAAGCCUUCGGCUCAACCGAAGAAGUGCAUCGGAAACUGGGAAACUUGAGUGCAGAAGAGGACAGUGGAACUCCAUGUGUAGCGGUGAAAUGCGUAGAUAUAUGGAAGAACACCAGUGGCGAAGGCGGGCUGUCUGGUCUGUAACUGACGCUGAGGCUCGAAAGUAUGGGUAGCAAACAGGAUUAGAUACCCUGGUAGUCCAUACCGUAAACGAUGAAUGCUAAGUGUUGGAGGGUUUCCGCCCUUCAGUGCUGCAGCUAACGCAUUAAGCAUUCCGCCUGGGGAGUACGGCCGCAAGGCUGAAACUCAAAGGAAUUGACGGGGGCCCGCACAAGCGGUGGAGCAUGUGGUUUAAUUCGAAGCUACGCGAAGAACCUUACCAGGUCUUGACAUACUAUGCAAAUCUAAGAGAUUAGACGUUCCCUUCGGGGACAUGGAUACAGGUGGUGCAUGGUUGUCGUCAGCUCGUGUCGUGAGAUGUUGGGUUAAGUCCCGCAACGAGCGCAACCCUUAUUAUCAGUUGCCAGCAUUAAGUUGGGCACUCUGGUGAGACUGCCGGUGACAAACCGGAGGAAGGUGGGGAUGACGUCAAAUCAUCAUGCCCCUUAUGACCUGGGCUACACACGUGCUACAAUGGAUGGUACAACGAGUUGCGAACUCGCGAGAGUAAGCUAAUCUCUUAAAGCCAUUCUCAGUUCGGAUUGUAGGCUGCAACUCGCCUACAUGAAGUCGGAAUCGCUAGUAAUCGCGGAUCAGCAUGCCGCGGUGAAUACGUUCCCGGGCCUUGUACACACCGCCCGUCACACCAUGAGAGUUUGUAACACCCAAAGUCGGUGGGGUAACCUUUUAGGAACCAGCCGCCUAA